GACAGUAGCGCAAAAAGCGAGCUACCGCUCCCUUGCCCCACGCACCUCCAUCCAGCUACCCAGUAUGCUACCUCUGUCCCACGCACUCAGCCAGCCUCCAGUGGCCAUGAUUCCUUUCUAUCCAGUUGGUAAUACCCUUCCUCUGACUUUUAAUUUGGUUUUAAUUACCCUACAACUCUCAAGUGAUGUCAAAGGCAACAUCCAAAAC
rnacentral:lncRNA from 1 species